rnacentral:sRNA from 1 species
GACAUACACAUAAAUACAGCAUGCCCUCGAGUUUUUGUCGCUGCAUCCUGCGGCCAAAGGAAGCGGAGAAGUUGAAGCAGCAGCAGCUGGUGAUGCUGCCGCAAGCGCAAUCAUAAGCCAACACCUAAGCACGUCAACAACACUGGCAGUCUCCAGCUGGCAAAUGCGAAAUCAGAAAAUGCAGCUUAUAGCUUCGGCUCUAAUACUGACUGCUUACUGUGUGCUAC